CGGACGACGCUGGCGGCGUGGAUUAGGCAUGCAAGUCGGACGGUAGGGCUUUAUCGUAAGAUAGAGUUUGAGAGUGGCGAACGGGUGAGUAACACGUAGGAAUCUACCCUUAAGACGGGGACAACCCAGGGAAACUUGGGCUAAUACCGGAUGAGAGUGCGAGAGAUUGCAUUUAAAAGGAUGGCGAAAGUUGUCGCUUAGGGAUGAGCCUGCGGUCUAUUAGUUAGUUGGUGAGGUAAGAGCUCACCAAGGCGAUGAUAGAUAGGCGGCCUUAACGGGUGGUCGCCCACACUGGGAUUGAGAUACGGCCCAGACUCCUACGGGAGGCAGCAGUCGAGAAUAGUCUACAAUGGACGAAAGUCUGAUAGUGCGACGCCGCGUGAACGAAGAAUCCUUUCGGGGUGUAAAGCUCUGUUAUAUGGGACGAACGUAUUUAUGGCCAAUACCCAUAGAUAGUGACGGUACCGUAAGAGAAAGCCACGGCUAACUACGUG
rnacentral:rRNA from 1 species